rnacentral:snRNA from 1 species
GCUUGCUUCAGCACACAUAUACUAAAAUUGGAACGAUACAAAGAAGAUUAGCCUGGCCCCUGUGCAAGGAAGACAUGCAAAUUUUUGUGAAGCGUUCCAUACUUUU